AGUGAACGCUGGCGGUAGGCCUAACACAUGCAAGUCGAACGGCAGCACAGAGGAGCUUGCUCCUUGGGUGGCGAGUGGCGGACGGGUGAGGAAUACAUCGGAAUCUACUCUGUCGUGGGGGAUAACGUAGGGAAACUUACGCUAAUACCGCAUACGACCUACGGGUGAGAGCAGGGGACCUUCGGGCCUUGCGCGAUUGAAUGAGCCGAUGUCGGAUUAGCUAGUUGGCGAGGUAAAGGCCCACCAAGGCGACGAUCCGUAGCUGGUCUGAGAGGAGGAUCAGACACACUGGAACUGAGACACGGUCCAGACUCCUACGGGAGGCAGCAGUGGGGAAUAUUGGACAAUGGGCGCAAGCCUGAUCCAGCCAUACCGCGUGGGUGAAGAAGGCCUUCGGGUUGUAAAGCCCUUUUGUUGGGAAAGAAAUCCAGCUGGCUAAUACCCGGUUGGGAUGACGGUACCCAAAGAAUAAGCACCGGCUAACUUCGUGCCAGCAGCCGCCGUAA
rnacentral:rRNA from 1 species